UACAGAGGGUGCGAGCGUUCAUCGGAAUUACUGGGCGUAAAGCGCGCGUAGGCGGCUUUGCAAGUCGGGUGUGAAAUCCCCAGGCUUAACCUGGGAACUGCAUUCGAGACUGCAUUGCUAGAGUAUGGGAGAGGGAAGUGGAAUUUCCUGUGUAGCGGUGAAAUGCGUAGAUAUCGUAAGGAACAUCAGUGGCGAAAGCGACUUCCUGGACCAAUACUGACGCUCAUGUGCGAAAGCGUGGGGAGCAAACAGG
rnacentral:rRNA from 1 species